GACGAACGCUGGCGGCGUGCUUAACACAUGCAAGUCGAACGAAGUGGCGAACGGGUGAGUAAUACGUGAGUAACCUGCCCUCCUUUUUGGGAUAAGCCUUGGAAACGGGGUCUAAUACCGAAUAAAGGGGGAUGGGCUCGCGGCCUAUCAGCUUGUUGGUGGGGUGAUGGCCUACCAAGGCGGUGACGGGUAGCCGGCCUGAGAGGGUGACCGUCCGCAUUGGGACCGGGCUACGGCCCAGACUCAUACGGGAGGGAGGAGUGGGGGAUAUUGGAGGAUGGGCGAAAGCCUGAUGCAGCGGAGCAGGGUGGGGGAUGAAGGGUUUCGGGUUGUAAACCUCUUUCGCUAUAGAACGGGUAGGUGGAGAAGAAGCGCCGGCUAACUACGUGCCAGCAGCCGCGGUAAUAC
rnacentral:rRNA from 1 species